GUCUGUAGCCCAUACCAGUCUACCAAGAGUGCCUGAUCUCGUCAGAUCUCAGAGAAUCAUGCAGACUUGGGCCUGCUUAGUACUUGUAUGGGAGACCAACCAGGAACCUCAGGUGCUGUAAGCU
rnacentral:rRNA from 1 species